GGAAGGGUCGCAUAGUGGUCUAGUGCGUUGGUCUUGAAAACCAAUGUGGGUUUUUUGCUCACCGUGGGUUCGAAUCCCACCCCUUCCG
rnacentral:tRNA from 1 species